rnacentral:rRNA from 1 species
UAAGCAAAGUACGGUACCCUGGGAAGAAGGUCCGGCUAACUACGUGCCAGCAAGCCGCGGUAAUACGUAGGGACCGAGCGUUGUCCGGAGUUACUGGGCGUAAAGGGCGCGCAGGCGGCCGACCGCGUCGGGUGUGAAAGCCCUCCGCUCAACGGAGGAGAGUCGCUCGAAACGGGUGGGCUGGAGGCAGGGAGAGUCGGUGGANUUCCCGGUGUAGUGGUAUAUGCGUAGAGAUCGGGAGGAACACCAGUGGCGAAGGCGGCCGACUGGACCUGUCCUGACGCUGAGGCGCGAAGGCGUGGGGAGCGAACGGGAUUAGAUACCCCGGUAGUCCACGCAGUAAACGAUGUGCACGAGGUGUAGCGGGAGUUGACCCCUGCUGUGCCGGCGCUAACGCAGUAAGUGCACCGCCAAAAAGACGGC